AGUCUGGGCCCAAAUGUUUGCCUAUAUUGCAGUGAUCAAGCUCUGUCUCUUGAUUUCCUGUCUGCAGUACAGGGAUAAAGAAAGCAGAUGAUGAUGUGAGAUGGAGCCUCCCUUGGCCUGACCUUGGGAUUGCUGAAUAGCUCAUGACUGGCAAAAUCCUGGAUUGAGUUCAGUUGGAUUUUAUGAGGUACGGAGCUGGAAAGACUGAAUUUUUCCCUCCUCAUUACAUGGCAAUGACUAUCCUAGCCAUGGCUUCUCGUUCUGUAUCUGGUAUUUCCCAUAUCAGAAGGGAUGCCAAGUACUUUCUUCCUGAUGUUCAUAGUGCCCUGGUUUUCAACCUUUUUUUUUAAUUUGUAGACUCUGCAUAUUUUCUAAGGCAGAUGUGGCCCCCCUCAGUAGUCAUGGGGCAGAGCUUAUGACAAUACUGAAACUAGUUUUCCAUGCUGCUUUUCAUGGACUCUUACAGGCAAUCUGUUGAAGUCCACAGAGAACUGAAUGCAAAGCAUGCCCUUGCCUCUUACACAAAGGCUUUCUUCUCUUCACAGUUUCAAGUGCCACCAAUGACUACUGAACUGCAGGACAAGCCCUUCCUUUCCAUUGCUGCAGCGUAAAUAUGAAAAAGAAGCCUUAUUUUCAGGCUCUGAUAACAACAACAAGAAAAGGGGGGCAAACCAGUUGUGCCUUAUUUGCUCAGUAUCAAAAGCCAUGAUAUAAAACGUGUAACAUCUGUGUUUUUGGCUGCCGUUUCAGGGAGCAGACCUCUCCUUCCACCAGCAAGAAGCCCACGACCAAGCUGAUGUGAGCAGUCAGAGCUGGAGAGUGGCCACGGACCGGCUGCAGGGCCCCAGCAGCCCUGGCUAUUUCUGGCUUUGUGACCGGCUGAGUGAGCACGAUUAGGUCGCUCACAGAGGCAGGGCCAAAAAGUUUUGCCAGCACAAAUCACCUGCAUUACAUCCCACGAGGGGCUUGCUGUGCCUUCACAGAGGAUUUG
rnacentral:lncRNA from 1 species